GAUGAAGAACGCAGCGAAAUGAGAUAAGUAAUGUGAAUUGCAGAAUUCAGUGAAUCAUCGAAUCUUUGAACGCACAUUGCGCCCCCUGGUAUUCCGGGGGGCAUGCCUGUCCGAGCGUCAUUACAACCCUCAAGCUCAGCUUGGUAUUGGGCCCCGCCGACCCGGCGGGCCCUAAAGUCAGUGGCGGUGCCGUCCGGCUCCGAGCGUAGUAAUUCUUCUCGCUCUGGAGGUCCGGUCGUGUGCUCGCCAGCAACCCCCAAUUUUUUUCAGGUUGACCUCGGAUCAGGUAGGGAUACCCGCUGAACUUAAGCAUAUCAAUAAGCGGAGGA
rnacentral:misc_RNA from 1 species